GCCGGGGUGGUGGAAUUGGUAGACACAGGAGACUUAAAAUCUCCCGGACCUCAAUAGUCCGUGCCGGUUCGAGUCCGGCCCUCGGUAUCA
rnacentral:tRNA from 1 species